AGGAAAAAUCAUGUUCAUUCAUAAUUUUCAUUUUAAAAGUGUAUUGAUUCCUUCUGCAAAUCCAUACUGUCAUGCCUAUUACCCAAUAUCGUCAACGCGGAUAGUUCGUUAGUCGAAAAUACUGAAUAAUUAAACAAACCAAAUGGCAUCACUGGUGGUUCUUUUUUCCACUCCGCUAAACUGUCAUCUCAAACAAAAACAAAUGGAUCAUACCACUGUUAUGAAUACAUUCGACUCGUUUGCUUCCAUCAAUCGGUAAGUGAGAAAGAUGAUUUCUCCCAUCACCACAGUGCGAAUUUCCACUUCUAUCACAGCAGCCAACAACAUCCGUUUUCCUGCAGCAGUAACCUCCAACCCCUGUUGGCAAUGCCGGGGGACAGCAUCAACAGCAGCAGCAGCAGAAUUUGACCAUGGUAUGGUAUUGCGAAGAACUUUCCCCAUUAGAGGUUCCGUGCUUCGCGCACAUUCAAAAAUUCUCUUCAGACACGAAAACUCAACGACAAGGAGGUAUUUAUCAACUUGCUCAGCUGAAUUACCACCCCGGAGGAACCCGAAUGCACUGAUUCCGUAGUAUAGUAAAAUGAAAAUAGGCGAGGUUAGCGAACGUAAUCGCAUCAUAUUUUAAUGUUCGCAUUUUUAUCCGGAUCAUACAACUGCUAUGAAUACAUCCGACUCAAUCAAUCGGCGAGUGAGAAAGAUGAUUUCCCUCAUCACCACAUUGCUUAUUUCCACUUCUGUCACACCAGCCAACAGCAUCAGCUUUCCCGCAGCAGUAUCCUUUAAGUCCAGGGUGCUAUUCCGGGGAACAGCAUCAACAGCAACAGCAGCAGGACCUGGCCAUCGAUAGUAUUUCGAGCAAUUUUCCCCAUCGGAGAUCCCGUGCUUCACGCACAUUGAAGAAUCCUCCUCAGCCACAUAUCUGUGUCAUCAAGGGCAAGGAGGUAUUCAUCAAUGUACUCAGUCGGAUUUGAAUCGUCAAUCCAGACAACCCGGAUGCAUUGAUUCCAUUAUAUACCUUAUUUUUAUUAUACAUGGAUUCUUUUUUUUUAAAUAAAAUGAUUAAAAUCGA